GCAUCCUUAGUACAGUGGUUAUUACACUUGACAUGGACAUAAGAGAUGUGGGUUAAAUUCCCACAGGAAACA
rnacentral:tRNA from 1 species